rnacentral:rRNA from 1 species
UGCAAGUCGAACGGAGAUUCAGCAAUGGAUCUUAGUGGCGAACGGGUGAGUAACGCGUAGGCAAUCUGCCUUCUAGAUGGGGACAACAUCCCGAAAGGGGUGCUAAUACCGAAUGUUGUAGUUGGUUCGCAUGGACUAGCUACUAAAGGUGGCCUCUGAAUAUGCUACCGCUAGAAGAUGAGCCUGCGUCUGAUUAGCUAGUUGGAGGGGUAACGGCCCACCAAGGCUUCGAUCAGUAGCCGGUCUGAGAGGAUGAACGGCCACACUGGGACUGAGACACGGCCCAGACUCCUACGGGAGGCAGCAGUGGGGAAUCUUCCGCAAUGGACGAAAGUCUGACGGAGCAACGCCGCGUGAGUGAAGAAGGUUUUCGGAUCGUAAAGCUCUUUCGUUAGGGACGAACGUGCUCUUUGUGAAUAAUGAGGAGUAAUGACGGUACCUAAAUAAGAAGCCACGGCUAACUACGUGCCAGCAGCCGCGGUAAUACGUAGGUGGCAAGCGUUGUCCGGAAUUAUUGGGCGUAAAGCGCGCGCAGGC